rnacentral:rRNA from 1 species
CGCAUCUGUGCAUGCAGCAUAUCAUAAGCGGAGGAAAAGAAACUACCAAGGAUUCCCCUAGUAACGGCGAGUGAAGCGGGAAGAGCUCAAAUUUGAAAUCUUAAAGGGUUUCCCUUUACGAAUUGUAGUUUAAAGAAGUGUUUUCUGUUGAGGUUUUGGUAAAAGUUCUUUGGAAUAGGACAUCAUAGAGGGUGAGAAUCCCGUAUUUGACCUUUACUUUCAACUUUGUGAUACACUUUCAAAGAGUCGGAUUGUUUGGGAAUGCAGUCCAAAAUGGGUGGUAAAUUUCAUCUAAAGCUAAAUAUUGGCGAGAGACCGAUAGCGAACAAGUACCGUGAGGGAAAGAUGAAAAGAACUUUGAAAAGAGAGUUAAACAGUACGUGAAAUUGUCAAAAGGGAAGCGUUUGACACCAGUGUUGUUUUUCUGAAAAUCAAUUAAAGAACUGUUUAUGCUAAGUUGUUUAGACUUUAUCAGCUAACUGUUUAGUUUUGAGCUUUUCUUUAAUGCACUUUUCAGUUAACAAGUCAACAUCAAUUUCUUUUGCUGUAAAAAAGCUUGAGGAAGGUGGCUUGAGAUUCGUCUUAAGUGUUUAUAGCCUCUUGCCUAUGCAGUCGGAGAGAUUGAGGUCUGCAGCGUAGAUCCUUCGGGGCUAAAUGCAUUUGUGCUAAGUUAUAGCAUUUUAUAGACAACUUGUUGACUAUGAUUUGUCUUGUAGCUUACUCGCUUAUGUUAUUUUACCUACGCUUAGGAUGUUGAGCGCAUGUCUCUCUCU